rnacentral:rRNA from 1 species
UACGUAGGGGGCAAGCGUUGUCCGGAUUCAUUGGGCGUAAAGAGCGUGUAGGCGGCCAGGUAGGUCGGUUGUGAAAACUGGAGGCUCAACCUUCAGAGGUCGACCGAAACCAUCUGGCUAGAGUCCGGGAGAGGAGAGUGGAAUUCCUGGUGUAGCGGUGAAAUGCGCAGGUAUCAGGAAGAACACCCGUGGCGAAAGCGGCUCUCUGGAACGGUACUGACGCUGAGACGCGAAAGCGUGGGGAGCGAACAGG